rnacentral:lncRNA from 1 species
CUCCAGAUAAGAAUUCACAAAUUGGGGUUUUUACCCACCAUUUUUUUACGUAAUUGGGUGAUAAAGAUUUUUAAUUGCAUUAUCAAUUUCAGUUCACCCCUCAAGCAAAUAUCAAAUUGGGUUUUUAACCACUAAGCUCCUUUAUGUAUUGGGUUUUUUCAUCAACACAAUAUUGAAUAUUCAGGCAUGUUAUAAUCACAUUAUAUCAACCUCAGAUGUUUUUCCAUCUUAAAUAUGUGCUAGCUGUUUUAUUUAGUUUAUUCACUGACGAGCAAUUGUACAUUUUAUUUAUGUCCCGUUUUAAACGUUCUUCCAGUUUUUUAUUUUCUCAUAACUUAUAUAAACUGCAGCUGGUGUCACUAGUUGGACAGUAACUAAUUACCUUUCUAGAUCCCAAAUGAUCACCCUACAGUUUAGUUGGGGUAGGCGUGGGCCAGCUAAGUGUUUAGAUUUUUAUGUGAAAUUUAGGUGCUGUAAGAAAGUUUUGCCAGUACUUUCACCUAUUUGCCAGACCUACUUUUAAAAAAAAAUAA